rnacentral:pre_miRNA from 1 species
UUACUACUCCCUCCAUCUGAAAAUACUUGUCAUCAAAAUGGAUAAAAAGGGAUGUAUCUAGAACUAAUAUACAUCUAGAUACAUCCCUUUUUAUUCAUUUUGAUGACAAGUAUUUCCGGACAGAGGGAGUAUAAU